AAAGCAUAAGUGACCAGAUUAUUCAGCUCCUAUUGGUAGAGCUGAGAUUUGAACCCAGCCAGACCUAUGUCCACCACACUGUCCUCUAUGGGGCUGGACCCAGAGGUGCCCUGUAGCAAUCCAUGCUAACCAAGUCGACGGGAAGAGGCAUUCAAAGAUGCCAGUGCAGGAGAGGGACUGCCAACAGAGCAAAACACAACAAGAUCUAAGAUGAAACUUUCAGAAUGUUUCCAUGGUCUCAUAGCUGUACUAGAGUCAGAACCAGCAAGACCCAGACCCCACUCAGCAGAAGGGCUUUGGUGCAGUGAUUGUAGCUACCAGGCUGGACUAACCCAAGCAUGGGCUAGGCAGUGAUGGGGACAUUCGGGAGACUGGUGGACACAAGGCCUUCAGGGUGGUGGCAGAAGAGCGAAGACCUGGGGGGCUUCAGUGGUGCCAGUCGCGGGAGAUAAAAGGCGCUGUAUGUAAAACACCAUGCAAAUGUACA
rnacentral:lncRNA from 1 species